ncrna:Psychromonas ingrahamii 37 TwoGGAY RNA
UAGGCAAUUUCCGUACGUUUUUCUUGCUCAAUCAAUCUCUUUAGCAAGUGGAAACAUGGAUGUUUCCACUAAGUUCGGCUCUGCACAUGGAUGCUGUCCGGACUGGUGCGUUAAAAAGAAAUUUAUUUAGUAAGAUAAAAAAACGUCCCGGACGGCACUCU